AUUACAGAUAGGGACUUCUGUGGACCAGCAUCUCUGGAACUCACUGUAUCCGAUUCUUGCACUCGGCAGAGUUUCUUGGCAUUCCUUUGACGAUCCUCUCUUUGUUGUGAACUCUUUCAAUGGAUUUGGAGGCUUUCCUCUCUUCCUGAAAGAUCCACCUGCAAAUGACAUCUUUGAUCGAAGCAUUCAGCCUCCAAAGAAGGAAAAAGAAGAAGACUUAUGGACUAAUACAAGUCCUGCUGCUAAAGGCUUACCGUCAGAAGCACCACAAGUUCUCAGAGGAGACAUGGGCAUGAAGGUAGAACAAGUCCUUCACAUGGUUGGAGGGGCGGGGGAAACCAGCUAUGCUCUCAACUAUGAGUUUCAGGCGAAAUCACUUUUAUCAUGACGAAGCCGAUGCCGGAGGAUGCAAUAGAAGGGGUUUACGAGCUGCUGCUCCUUGAGAGAACGGUGGUGGCUGACCUCGGCUGUUCCUCGGGCCCUAACACUUUUGCUGGUGGUCUCCGAGGUGCUCGACGUCGUCAGUGGCAUGUGGGGAGGCACGGGGCCUCAGGAGCCACCGGAGAUCCAGUUCUUCUCGAAUGACCUCCCCGGAAAGGAUUUUGAUCACGUCUUCCGCUCCCUGUAAGAAUACAAGAGGAAGGUUAAGGAGGAGAAGGGGGAUAUGCUUGUGCCGUACUAUGUUGUGGGACUGCCAGGCUCCUUCUACGGAAGGCUUUUCCCAUGCAGGAGUGUCCACCUCUUUCACUCCUCCCCCAGUCUCAUCUGGCUCUCUCAGGAUACCCUCUGCAAUGGCUACUUGUUCUUUACACCUUGAACAAGCUUCACUUUCUUUGGAUUCCUGCAUGCGGUUGGUCAUAUUACAUGGAAGUAAUACCAUUAAAAAUUGGUGUAUGCUCUGAAUGUUGUAUAGAGACUUGGUGCCAUGUGACUAAAUACCACUGAAAGGUUCUUCGAGGAUUGGAGACUGAACAGGGUGCAUCACUUAACAAGAGGAACAUCUACCUUGCAGAGACAAGCCCACCUGAAGUUAUAGAGACUUGUCAACAUUUCUAAGGUGCCAUCAUGCAGAACUUGUUGAGA